rnacentral:misc_RNA from 1 species
GAUGAAGAACGUAGCGAAAUGCGAUAAGUAAUGUGAAUUGCAGAAUUCAGUGAAUCAUCGAAUCUUUGAACGCACCUUGCGCCCUUUGGCCAUUCCGAAGGGCAUGCCUGUUUGAGUAUCAUGAACACCUCAACUCUUCAUGGUUUUCCAUGAUGAGCUUGGACUUUGGGGGUCUUGCUGGCCUGUGGGUCGGCUCCUCUCAAAUGAAUCAGCUUGUCGGUUUUUGGUGGGCAUCACAGGUGUGAUAACUAUCUACGCUUGUGGUUUUCCACCAGGGUAACCUUCAGCAGUGGAGGUUCACUGGAGCUUACAAAUGUCUCUCCUCUGUGAGGACAGCCCUUUGAAUGUUUGAUCUCAAAUCAGGUAGGACUACCCGCUGAACUUAAGCAUAUCAAUAAGCGGAGGA